rnacentral:rRNA from 1 species
UGGGGAAUAUUGCACAAUGGGCGCAAGCCUGAUGCAGCCAUGCCGCGUGUAUGAAGAAGGCCUUCGGGUUGUAAAGUACUUUCAGUCGGGAGGAAGGUGUCAAGGUUAAUAACCUUGGCAAUUGACGUUACCGACAGAAGAAGCACCGGCUAACUCCGUGCCAGCAGCCGCGGUAAUACGGAGGGUGCAAGCGUUAAUCGGAAUUACUGGGCGUAAAGCGCACGCAGGCGGUCUGUCAAGUCGGAUGUGAAAUCCCCGGGCUCAACCUGGGAACUGCAUUCGAAACUGGCAGGCUAGAGUCGUGUAGAGGGGGGUAGAAUUCCAGGUGUAGCGGUGAAAUGCGUAGAGAUCUGGAGGAAUACCGGUGGCGAAGGCGGCCCCCUGGACAAAGACUGACGCUCAGGUGCGAAAGCGUGGGGAGCAAACAGG